rnacentral:rRNA from 1 species
GGACCCGCACAAGCAGUGGAUGAUGUGGUUUAAUUCGAAGCUACGCGAAAAACCUUACCAGGGCUUGACAUGUUCGGAAUCUUUGCGAGAGCAAGGAGUGCCUUCGGGAGCCGAAACACAGGUGGUGCAUGGUUGUCGUCAGCUCGUGUCGUGAGAUGUUGGGUUAAGUCCCGCAACGAGCGCAACCCUUAUGGUUAGUUGCUAACAUUCAGUUGAGCACUCUAACAAGACUGCCGUUGACAAAACGGAGGAAGGUGGGGACGACGUCAAAUCAUCAUGCCCCUUAUGUCCUGGGCUACACACGUCAUACAAUGGCCGUUAACAAAGUGAAGCAAGACCGCAAGGUGGAGCAAAUCACAAAAAACGGUCCCAGUUCGGAUAGCAGGCUGCAACCCGCCUGCUUGAAGUUGGAAUUGCUAGUAAUCGCGAAUCAGCAUGUCG